GACGAACGCUGGCGGCGUGCCUAAUACAUGCAAGUAGAACGCUGAAGACUUUAGCUUGCUAAAAUUGGAAGAGUUGCGAACGGGUGAGUAACACGUGGGCAACCUGCCUCAUAGAGGGGAAUAGCCUCCCGAAAGGGAGAUUAAUACCGCAUAAGAUUGUAGCUUCGCAUGAAGUAGCAAUUAAAGGAGCAAUCCGCUAUGAGAUGGGCCCGCGGCGCAUUAGCUAGUUGGUGAGGUAACGGCUCACCAAGGCGACGAUGCGUAGCCGACCUGAGAGGGUGAUCGGCCACAUUGGGACUGAGACACGGCCCAG
rnacentral:rRNA from 1 species